ensembl:lncRNA
UGUGGUUCUACGGGAAGUGUGGGCUGGGUUUCUUCUAUCUGGACCGUGGCGGAACAUGGGGGUUUGUGAGGUCAGAAGGGAGGAGAUGCCGAGGUGGAAACUGCAGCCUUCUGUUCAUUGUGUAGACCUGGGGAAGAAUGAGGGGGCAGUCGAUUGGCUGCAAAAGGAGGCUGGGGAAGCUGAAUAGUGAUAACAACAGUUACCAUUUACUGGGCAUCUUUUCUAUGCCAACACUACUGUAAAGGCGAUAUUCAAAUCAACGCCCUAUAGGUGAAGAAAUCGAGGCCCAGAAAGUCUCAGUUCAUCAGAGACUGAGCCCCGAGACCAUCACCCAAGAGGUUCACCCUCAACAGAUGGGUUCCCUAAAUCCUGCCUUGUUCUCAAGAAGGCUGAAUGCAGAGGUAUCCAUGCCAAGACUGCACUAAGAGAGUUCCAGCAACCUCUUUGCUAACUCUGCUUUACUGCUCGGGAACACAUCAAUUGUCAAAAUUCCGUUAGGAAAUGAAGUGAUGUUGGCCUGGUUCCUCUCAGCUACCCUGGCUUCCUCCAACUGAGAGGGACAGCAGUCACCCCCUGUCAGAGAGCCUGGCCUGAGAUGAAGGAAAGAACUGCCAACACAGUGGGGUGCAGGAGAAGCCAGAGGCCCACCUGCCCCAAAUUACCUACCUCCUUGGGCUGCUUCUGUGCUCGGAACUCCUGCCAUUGGCUUCUCUUGCCCGGAUCAAGGCCCAGUCAGAAACAUGAAUUUGUGAGCUGAGGAUUCACUUUGGGCAGGAGUACCAGCAGCUUUCUUGACAAUCACAUGGGGAGAGUCAGUUGGAGGAGUGAAACCUUAUAGAGACAAGAUGAGCAGAGAGGUAGAGAAAGAAAACCAACCGUGAUGAGCCCCUUGCUCCAGUGUGCCUCAAGCCACCUGUAUCUCUGGACCUUCCAGUUACGUAUUUUCAAACCUCAAAAUGAAGAGAGGAAGUUGGAGUGAGUGAACCCCGAGUUCAGACAGUUACACCUCCAGCUCCCACCUGUGCUGACCAGCUCCUUCCCUGCCUCCUGCCCACACACCUCCAUCUGACUGGCUGCCAUAUUGGGCUGGGAAGAGAGAAAGGGGCAGAAGAGGAGAGAAUAAGGAAAAGGUAUUGCCUGGUGACCUUGGCCUUCCUUGGAAUGGACAGCUGGAAUAAAUACUAUCCAGAAAGCCUGGGGCUGUGGGUCCUGUCAAGCCCACCACACCCAGCACCACAAAUGCCAUCCCCCUGCAGGAAUUCUCUGAGCACUUUGUGGGUAUCCAUCUCCCAGAUGACUUUCAGCCGGGUCUUGCCCACCUGGUCUCAACCUUAACUGUUUACCUGGGCUGGUCUCUGAGCAGAAUCCAUGGCUGCCCUCAAAUCAGGUUACGGCCACAGCCUCUGGGUAUUGACUCAAAGAUUACAGGUGAGCAAACAGAAGCAUGUUAAUUUUUAAUUUCACUUUGCUGACUGGUAACCAGGCUGCCUCUUUGUCCCAUAACCGAUAAUUACCUGGUAAGAAGAAACAUGCAACCACUGCCCUGCAAUGAAAGUCCACUCCUCUGGCCUUCCUGGCCCAAGCCGGGCUUUGUAAAGCAGCUCCCAUAUUGAUUGGCCUCCGUCAACAGUUAGAGAAGUAAAGGACUUUUUCUGAGUCGGGCAACCCUGGAUCAGUGUGAGACCCUAGCUGCUUGACACGAUCCUCUAAGGUUUAGAAGGGAAUUCCCAGUGGAGGCCUUUGAAGUUUGGGCUUUGGGGUAGGAAUGGGACAUUUCUUCUAAUGAAGGAGAGACUGACAGAGAAAGUGUUUCUCUCCAUGGCUCCCAGUUCAGAUAAGUCACCACCUACACAGACAUCCUCACAUCCUGGAGCCCAGGCUGUCGUCAGCGGUGACUUCACCCCAGCACAACCUGAGGGCAGAAAUCUACAGCGAGGUGUCACCUCAUCCUCACAGGAGCUCUCUAAGUCCCUUAGUUCCCAUCAUGCCAUCUCUGGGAGGUCAUGGUCAGCACCCCGUGGUGUGGAGGAGGAAACUGAGGAUAAUUGGCCUGCCCAAGGUCGCACAAUUCUUCAUAUCUUCAGGGGGUCUGGUCACUUAAAUGCAGAGAUCCGUCACAUAUUGUUCUCUUCCUUUUUCCCUUUCACUUUUUAGGACCAAAGUGGUUUCAGUUUGAAAACCAUAAUGAAUUUAACAUAGAUCAAGAAAAGCCGCAGAAGCAAUUUUUCCCAUCUGGGAAGGAACAGAAUCUACAAUUUUGUGCCAUUUGUCUACCCUGUCACUAACUGCAGAGAAAACAUUCUAACACUGUCCUUUGUGGCCUCAAGCCAUUUCCCUGGGGCUAUUGGACUAAAAAAACCCAGAGAAAUAAAAAAAUCAGAAUCUAAGUAAAACUUGAACGUUAGUCAGAGACCCGCGGCACAGGGAUUCAUUCAGCUGGUUAUUUUAAAUAAUUCACUCCAGAAAAAGACUGGUUGAGUACGUGUAUAUAUCUCACCAACUUCAACAUCAUUCACAGAUGUUGGCAAGUGACUAAAAAAGAAGUGGAACUUUGUUUGAUGUUUAGAGAUGGGUGUACCCAAUUAUACCCACAGAAUUCGAGAACUGGAAGGAGACUGAGAAAUCAGUUAGUAGAGUAAGUCAGGGCAUGAAACCUUUUUCUGGGGGGCUGCUUCUGAGUUUCCUUAAAUUUUAUGAUCACAGGAGACAUAAACCUUGAUGUGGCUGGAGAGGGAAAGGAAGGGGUAUACGGAGCACGUGAUGCUAUCAUCUUUCUGCUUUAACGUCUCACGUCUCCCCCGCCUGUAGCAGCAUUUCUGUGGAACAUCAGUCUCCCAGGCUCCUCUCUGCAAAGGUUUGCACAGUCAUGCUCCUUUGGGAAAUGCUGCCAGUUACAUCCCACUCUUGGAAAUUUGCAAUGCGCAUCCACGUAAUAAAUGCUGUUGAACCAAGCAGUCCUGGAAUAAAGAAAACCUCCUUAACUCUGUUUAAGCCAAGCUUCCAAUCUUAUUUUAUGAUUGUAUCAGGUAGGAUACAGCUGCAAGUGACAGAAACUCUGACUCAAAACUGGGAUAAACAAUAAGGACAUGGGUCCUUCACAAACCAGACGCUCAGCAAGGUAAAGCAGGUUUUGGAGAUUUCUCCUCCCGUUUUUCUGCUCUGGCGUUCUCAGUGAUGGCUUCCUCAUUAGGCCGAUCAAGACGGCAGUUCCAGGCAUCACAUUCAGGGCUGACACAUGGCAGAGGAAGAAGAGAGAGCAUUUCUUCCUGAGAAGAAACUCUCCCGCAAGGACCGUGACAUCCAUUCAGGUCUCAUUGGCCAGAAUCACAUCACGUGUCCACUCCUGAGUCAGUCAUUGGCAAAAAGAAUGGCGUUUCCCUCUGACCAUUCGCCCUGAAGCUGGAGGUGAGUCAGCUUCCCUGAAGCAGGUGGCUGCGUGGAGGUGGAAUGUAUUCCUGAACAAAACUGGAGCUCUGUUGGGAAGGCAGCGCAGAAUGGGCAGGCAGUCAACAGUGUCCACUCCAACUGCAGACUCCCUUUCACACUUAACACCCUGUGAUGGCCAAUUCUAUGUGUCCACUUGACUGGUCCGCAGGGUGCCCAUAAAUUUGCUCAAACAUUAUUCCGGGCGUGUCUGUGACGGUGUCUCUGGAUGAGAUUAACAUCUGAAUCGGUAGACUGACUAAAGCGCAUUGCCUCCCCAGUGUGGGUGAGCUCAUCCAAUCCGUUGAAGACCUGAAGAGAAUGAAAAGACUGAGAAGUGAACUCCUCCUGCCUGACUACCUGAGCGAUGACAUUGGUUUCUCCCAGUGUUUGAACUUGAAACAUCAGCUCUUCUUGGGUCUCCAGCUUGCUGACUGCAGAUCUUGGGACUUAUCAGCCUCCACUUCCUGAGAAUAAGUCUUUUCUUUUUACACAUAUAUACACAUAUGUGUAUGUGUGUGCAUGUUGUUGUUGUUCCUCUUUGAGACUUAGCACAAUAUGUGGUACUUGACUAGUGCUCAACAAAUGCUUGUGAAUGACUGGCUGACUGAUCUUCAUACCUAAGGAAACUGAAAUUCCGACAGGGUGAAGUGAGAAGCACAAUAUCACAUAGAAAGGAAGUGCUAGAACUUGGAACCUGGGUCUCCUGACUUCUGAAAUCAGGAGCUGUGCAUGACACCUAGAGGUUGCAUCCCACCAUGUGACAGCAUUCCUGUUACUCAAGUAACAAACUUUUAUUGAACACCUAUUAUGUGCCAGACACUCUUCUGGGGAUCCAUGAUGAAGAAGACACAAUCCCUGCCCUCAAGGCACCAGAUAGCCUUCCCCUGGACCAAAGCCUCCAGCUGGCCUCCCUGCAUCCAGGCUUCUGCUCCUCCCAUCCAUCCCUCAGGGCACCACCAGAAUGACUUCUUGGUUUACAUGCUUCAAAAGCGAUGGCCUCCUGGGAAUAAUGUGCACACUCCUGGCCUUCCAUUGUGGUAACCCAUCCAUAAUCUAACUUCUCUUACCCACACAGACUCACAUUUGACCACUGGCCAACUCAGCCUUUCUCACUGUGGGGACAAGACUGCUCACUGCCCCACAAACCACACAGCAGACUUCUUUCCAUCUCCACACCUUUGCUCCUUUGGUGCCUCCCAGCUGACAAACUUUCUUCACUUCUCAACUUGUAACUGGCAUGACCUACUUCAUUAGCUUGGAGUACAAGCAUAUUCACUUUUUCUUCCUCAAUUAAACCCUUGGAGGUCUUACAUGUUUCUAUUAGAAUUAUAUUUCCAUCUUUAUGAUCUCCUAAAAUUUGUACAAGAGUCCCACGAGCUUUCUAAGUAAAAUGAAACGACAACUAGAAAA